GCUGGGCGUGGUGGUGCACGCCUGUAAUCCCAGCUACUCGGGAGGCUGAGACAGGAGGAUCGCUUGAACCCGGGAGUUGGAGGUUGCAGUGAGCUGAGAUUGUGCCACUGCACUUCAGCCUGGGCGACAGAGCGAGACUCCGCCUCUA
rnacentral:sRNA from 1 species